rnacentral:rRNA from 1 species
AUUGAACGCUGGCGGCAGGCUUAACACAUGCAAGUCGAGCGGGGGAAGGUAGCUUGCUACCGGACCUAGCGGCGGACGGGUGGGUAAUGCUUAGGAGUCUGCCUAUUAGUGGGGGACAACAUCUCGAAAGGGAUGCUAAUACCGCAUACGUCCUACGGGAGAAAGCAGGGGAUCUUCGGACCUUGCGCUAAUAGAUGAGCCUAAGUCGGAUUAGCUAGUUGGUGGGGUAAAGGCCUACCAAGGCGACGAUCUGUAGCGGGUCUGAGAGGAUGAUCCGCCACACUGGGACUGAGACACGGCCCAGACUCCUACGGGAGGCAGCAGUGGGGAAUAUUGGACAAUGGGGGGAACCCUGAUCCAGCCAUGCCGCGUGUGUGAAGAAGGCCUUAUGGUUGUAAAGCACUUUAAGCGAGGAGGAGGCUAUUUUAGUUAAUACCUAGAGAUAGUGGACGUUACUCGCAGAAUAAGCACCGGCUAACUCUGUGCCAGCAGCCGCAGUAA